rnacentral:rRNA from 1 species
CUACCGAGGGUGCAAGCGUUAAUCGGAUUUACUGGGCGUAAAGCGCGCGUAGGCGGCUAAUUAAGUCAAAUGUGAAAUCCCCGAGCUUAACUUGGGAAUUGCAUUCGAUACUGGUUAGCUAGAGUGUGGGAGAGGAUGGUAGAAUUCCAGGUGUAGCGGUGAAAUGCGUAGAGAUCUGGAGGAAUACCGAUGGCGAAGGCAGCCAUCUGGCCUAACACUGACGCUGAGGUGCGAAAGCAUGGGGAGCAAACAGGAUUAGAUACCCGAGUAGUCC